rnacentral:lncRNA from 1 species
CGAUCAUGGCAGGGCGGAUACUAUGGUUCCUUAGCUCGUAUUUGAUAGUCAGGAAAAAUUUUAGGCGAUAGGGGUCCGGAGACCCGGGACCACUCGGAAGGUGUGGGCUAUAACACACAAAAAUAUGGGAAUCGCGCGGAAUUCUAGUUGUUUGGCCGAAAAACGCAAAAAUUGAGUAACGAUCAUGACGGGGCGGAUACUAUGGUUCCUUAGGUCGUAUUUGAUAGUCCGGAAAAAUUUUAGGCGAAAGGGGUCAGGAGGUCCCGGGACCACUCGGAAGGCGUGGGCUAUAACACAGAAAAAUAUGGGAAUCGAGCGGAAUUCUAGUUGUUUGGCCGAAAAACGCAAAAAAUGAGGAACGAUCAUGGCGAGGCGGAUACUACGGUUCCUUAGGUCGUAUUUGAUAGUCCGGAAAAAUUUUAGGUGAUAGGGGUCCGGAGGUCCCGGGACCACUCGGAAGGUGUGGGCUAUAACACACAAAAAUAUGGGAGUCGGGCGGAAUUCUAGUUGUUUGGCCGAAAAAUGCAAAAAAUGAGGAACGAUCAUGGCGUGGCAGAUACUAUCGUUCCUAGGUCGUAUUU